CAUUGGAAACAGUGGCUAAGACUGGAUAGGAAGAUAAAAGGCAUCUUUUAUCUUUUAAAAGACCUAGUAAUAGGUAUGCUUUAGGAGGGGCUUGCGCCAUAUUAGUUAGUUGGUAGGGUAAUGGCCUACCAAGACGAUGAUGUGUAGCUGGACUGAGAGGUUGAACAGCCACAUUGGGACUGAGACACGGCCCAAACUCCUACGGGAGGCAGCAGUAGGGAAUUUUCGGCAAUGGAGGAAACUCUGACCGAGCAACGCCGCGUGAAUGACGAAGUACUUCGGUAUGUAAAGUUCUUUUAUCAAGGAAGAAAAGCAAAUGGCGAACCAUUUGUUUGCCGGUACUUGAUGAAUAAGCCCCGGCUAAUUAUGUGCCAGCAGCCGCGGUAAGACAUAAGGGGCAAGUGUUAUCCGGAAUUAUUGGGCGUAAAGGGUGCGUAGGCGGUCUAGUAAGUCAGUGGUGUAAUGGCAACGCUUAACGUUGUCCGGCUAUUGAAACUGCUAAACUUGAGUUAGAUAGAGGCGAGUGGAAUUCCAUGUGUAGCGGUAAAAUGCGUAAAUAUAUGGAGGAACACCAGAGGCGUAGGCGGCUCGCUGGGUCUUAACUGACGCUGAGGCACGAAAGCGUGGGGAGCAAACAGGAUUAGAUACCCUGGUAGUCCACGCCGUAAACGAUGAGUACUAAGUGUCGGGUUAAACCGGUACUGAAGUUAACACAUUAAGUACUCCGCCUGAGUAGUACGUACGCAAGUAUGAAACUUAAAGGAAUUGACGGGACUCCGCACAAGCGGUGGAUCAUGUUGUUUAAUUCGAAGAUACCCGAAAAACCUUACCAGGUCUUGACAUGUUUUUGCAAAAUGAUAGUAAUAUCGUGGAGGUUACCAGAAACACAGGUGGUGCAUGGUUGUCGUCAGCUCGUGUCGUGAGAUGUUAGGUUAAGUCCUAAAACGAGCGAAACCCUUAUCGUUAGUUGCCAGCACGUUAUGGUGGGGACUUUAACGAGACUGCCAAUGAUAAAUUGGAGGAAGGUGAGGAUCACGUCAAAUCAGCAUGCCCCUUAUGACCUGGGCUACAAACGUGAUACAAUGGCUGUUACAAAGGGUAGCUGAAACGCAAGUUCUUGGCCAAUCCCCAAAAACAGUCCCAGUCCGGAUUGAAGUCUGCAACUCGACUUCAUGAAGUUGGAAUCGCUAGUAAUCGCGAAUCAGCAUGUCGCGGUGAAUACGUUCUCGGGGUUUGUACACACCGCCCGUCAAACCACGAAAGUUG
rnacentral:rRNA from 1 species